rnacentral:lncRNA from 1 species
UAUUCUCUCUCAAGACCUGUCCUUAAAGAAUGGCCUGCUUGCCCAAGUCCUGGAGUGUAAGAAGCCUUUGACGUUAAUGGCACCCACAAGUUCAUCACCAUGCCAGACUUGUCAGCCGUGUUUCUCCCAGAAAGAAGUAACAUUAGUUAAUUUAUUUCCACAUCUUCAGCAGCUGAUCUCAUUUGCACAGAACAGAGACGAGUUUGAGUUUUACAGAACUGCGUCCUGCUUCCCGAUACCCCCAAGACUGUUUCCCAUUAGCCAGUCUGCCCUGGCUCACAGGACAAUAUUUGCAUUUGAUGUAAGUCGGUGAUGCUCCACGGGGCACAUCAAUGCUGGAGCAAAGUCUCCAAUGUAUCUGAGAAAGUCACAUAAAUAUGGAAAUCUUUGUAAUGUGCUUUCAUUUUCAAAGUAGCACAUGAAGAAAUACGUAAUCCAGUAGAGUGUCUUUCCUGUCCAGAUUCUGUUCUUUCCUAAGCUGUGACCUAUCCUCGCCUGUGAGGAUACCUCUCCCACCCACCGGAUAACUUUGGUUGUCAUAAUCUGGUCCCCGUUGCUCAAAGCAUCAGUUUUCGGUGCUAGCAUGUCAAUAAAGAGCUCAAACUUUGAAGCC